rnacentral:tRNA from 1 species
GGCGCAGUCGCCAAGUGGUAAGGCAAGGGUCUGCAAAACCCUUAUCGGGGGUUCGAUUCCCCCCUGCGCCUCCA